rnacentral:misc_RNA from 1 species
GGCUGCUUCCCACAAGAGAACUGCCUCCUCCACACCACCUCCUGAGCCGGCUGAGCCAGAAGCAGAUGCAGCACCUGCUGGAGACAAUUCAGAAGAGCAGUCUUAAACAAGCAAACCAUGGUUUCUUACAUAAUUACUUUCUCAUCAAAUUGUUAUAUAAAAGUUUUAUUUUGAUUCUGCAAAUGGCGCCAUCAUUUUGAAGAUUGUUGUCUAAUUGUUUACAAAAUUACUGAAUUCAAUAUAUUGAACUUUGUAUUAGUUUUGCCAAAUUC